rnacentral:rRNA from 1 species
UACAGAGGUCCCGAGCGUUGUUCGGAUUCAUUGGGCGUAAAGGGUGCGUAGGCGGCGCGGUAAGUCGGGUGUGAAAUCUCGGGGCUUAACUCCGAAACUGCAUUCGAUACUGCCGUGCUUGAGGACUGGAGAGGAGACUGGAAUUUACGGUGUAGCGGUGAAAUGCGUAGAUAUCGUAAGGAAGACCAGUGGCGAAGGCGGGUCUCUGGACAGUUCCUGACGCUGAGGCACGAAGGUCAGGGGGAGCAAACGGG